UUAAGCUACUAAGAGCGUAGGGGGAAUGCCUUGGCACCAAGAGCCGAAGAAGGACGUGAUAAGCUGCGAAAAGCUACGGGGAGGAGCACAUAUCCAGAGAGCCGUAGAUAUCCGAAUGAGGGAACUCAAUCUAGGUAAAUGCUAGAUUAUCAUCACAUGAGUAAAGUAGUGUGAAUGAGGGGAACGUGGGGAACUGAAACAUCUUAGUACCCAUAGGAAGAGAAAAUAAAAAUGAUUCCGUAAGUAGUGGCGAGCGAAAGCGGAGGAGCCCAAACCUGAGUGAGCAAUCACUAUCAGGGGUUAGGACAUGCAACAAAUUCCAAGAAAGAGUGUAGUAGAAGUGUUUUGGGAAAGCACACCAAAGAGAGUGAAAGUCUCGUAUAUGAAACACGAAAGAAGGAAGAGUAUGAUCCAGAGUAAGACAGGACACGAGAAAUCCUGUGUGAAUGAGCGGGGACCAUCCCGUAAGGCUAAAUACUACUUGGUGACCGAUAGUGAAAUAGUACCGUGAGGGAAAGGUGAAAAGAACCCCGGGAGGGGAAUGAAAUAGAAUCUGAAACCCUAUGCUUACAAGCAGAUAGAGCACGUUAAAGUGUGAUAUCGUACUUUUUGCAGAACGGUCCGGCGAGUUACUGUAUAUGGCAAGGAGAAGAGUUUAAGACUAAUAUCCGAAGCGAAAGCGAGUCUGAAUAGGGCGAAAUAAGUCAUGUGCAGUAGACCCGAAACCGAGUGACCUAUCCAUGUCCAGGAUGAAGCUAGAGUGAAAUCUAGUGGAGGUCCGCACCAGUAGACGUUGAAAAGUCUUUGGAUGAGGUGUGGAUAGCGGAGAAAUUCUAAUCGAACUCGGAUAUAGCUGGUUCUCCUCGAAAUAGCUUUAGGGCUAGCCUUGAACAAAAACCAUAUGGGGGUAGAGCACUGAAUGAGCUAGGGGCCAAACAAAGGUUACCAAACUUUAUCAAACUACGAAUACCAUGUGGGAGGUUCAGGAGUCAGACUACGGGAGCUAAGUUCCGUGGUCAAAAGGGAAAGAGCCCAGACCGUCAAUUAAGGUCCCAAAGAUAUAACUAAGUGGAAAACGAUGUGAUUUUGCGCAGACAACCAGGAUGUUGGCUUAGAAGCAGCCAUUCAUUUAAAGAGUGCGUAAUAGCUCACUGGUCGAGUGAAGUUGCGCGGAAAAUUACCGGGGCUAAGUUAUACACCGAAAUUGCGGAUUCAUUAAGAAAUUAAUGAGUGGUAGAGGAGCGUUCUAUACAGGAUGAAGUAUGAUCGAGAGGACAUAUGGACAGUAUAGAAGAGAGAAUGCCGGAAUGAGUAGCGAGAGCAAAGUGAGAAUCUUUGCCGUCGAAAAUCUAAGGUUUCCUGGGGAAGGUUCGUCCGCCCAGGGUAAGUCGGGACCUAAGGUGAGGCCGAAGGGCGUAGCCGAUGGACAGCAGGUUAAGAUUCCUGCACCAGUAUACAUGUAUAAUGCAUAAGAGGACACAUUUGAAGAAGGUGAGCGAGGAAGAGGAAAAACUCGUAUGGCAACAUAUAGUGAAAUUAAGUAACGAAUCAUCAAGAGGCAAGUGGCGAGAAAAGUCUUAUGUAGUUGUGUAGACUGCCCGUACCGCAAACCGACACAGGUAGAUGAGGAGAGGAUCCUAAGACGAGCGGGAGAAGCAUUGUUAAGGAACUCGGCAAAUUGACCCCGUAACUUAGGGAUAAGGGGUGCUGGUGUAAAAGCCAGUCGCAGUAAAUAGGCCCAAGCAACUGUUUAACAAAAACACAGGUUUCUGCUAAAUCGCAAGAUGAAGUAUAGGAGCUGACUCCUGCCCAGUGCUGGAAGGUUAAGGGGAAAGGUUAAGAAUAAUUCAUUAUAUCUGAAGCUUUGAACUCAAGCCCCAGUGAACGGCGGCCGUAACUAUAACGGUCCUAAGGUAGCGAAAUUCCUUGUCAGGUAAGUUCUGACCCGCACGAAAGG
rnacentral:rRNA from 1 species